rnacentral:rRNA from 1 species
AGCAGUAGCCGCGGGAAUACGAAGGGUGCAAGCGUUAAUCGGAAUUACUGGGCGUAAAGCGUGCGUAGGCGGUUUGUUAAGUCUGUUGUGAAAUCCCCGGGCUCAACCUGGGAAUGGCAAUGGAUACUGGCAAGCUAGAGUGUGUCAGAGGAUGGUGGAAUUCCCGGUGUAGCGGUGAAAUGCGUAGAGGUCGGGAGGAACAUCAGUGGCGAAGGCGGCCAUCUGGGACAACACUGACGCUGAGGUACGAAAGCGUGGGGAGCAAACAGGAUUAGAUACCCCGGUAGUCCCUGUCUCUUAUAA